GACGAACGCUGGCGGCGUGCUUAACACAUGCAAGUCGAACGGAAAGGCCCUGCUUUUGUGGGGUGCUCGAGUGGCGAACGGGUGAGUAACACGUGAGUAACCUGCCCUUGACUUUGGGAUAACUUUAGGAAACUGGGGCUAAUACCGGAUAGGAGCUCCUGCUGCAUGGUGGGGGUUGGAAAGUUUCGGCGGUUGGGGAUGGACUCGCGGCUUAUCAGCUUGUUGGUGGGGUAGUGGCUUACCAAGGCUUUGACGGGUAGCCGGCCUGAGAGGGUGACCGGCCACAUUGGGACUGAGCUACGGCCCAGACUCCUACGGGAGGCAGCAGUGGGGAAUAUUGCACAAUGGGCGGAAGCCUGAUGCAGCAACGCCGCGUGCGGGAUGACGGCCUUCGGGUUGUAAACCGCUUUCGCCUGUGACGAAGCGUGAGUGACGGUAAUGGGUAAAGAAGCACCGGCUAACUACGUG
rnacentral:rRNA from 1 species